rnacentral:rRNA from 1 species
UACAGAGGUCCCAAGCGUUGUUCGGAUUCACUGGGCGUAAAGGGUGCGUAGGUGGCGAGGUAAGUCGGAUGUGAAAGCUCGGAGCUCAACUCCGAAAUGGCAUUGGAAACUACCUUGCUCGAGGGUUGGAAGGGGGACUGGAAUACUUGGUGUAGCAGUGAAAUGCGUAGAUAUCAAGUGGAACACCAGUGGCGAAGGCGAGUCCCUGGACAACUCCUGACACUGAGGCACGAAAGCUAGGGGAGCAAACAGG